UCUCGUUCCCUCCAUCAGGGAACGGAGGUUACGCAAGCAACCCUGACGGCUUACAACUCUCUGAAGAUGCAAAUGAUUUUGUGGGGAGGGUCAGUGUCUCUUGAGUGUGUUAUAAACUGAACCCUCAGUCAAUGUUUGUGUGACUAAACUUCUGCUAAUUUGCUAUAGGCUGUCAAAAUUUUAGUUUGACAGAUUUGGUGUGGUGAUGGAAAUGCUACAGUAUGGAGUUGUGCUGAUGAUUAUUUCAUCUGUCAGUGGUCAGUCACUGACCUCCUCAGAUUCUGUGGUGAAAAAACCUGGAGAAUCAGUCACUCUGUCCUGCACUGUGUCUGGAUUCUCACUGAGCAGCUACAACAUGCACUGGAUCCGUCAGAAACCAGGGAGAGGACUAGAGUGGAUUGGGCGUAUUGACGGUGGCACUGGCACUAUUUUUGCUCAGUCUCUACAAGGCCAGUUCUCCAUCACAAAAUACACAGGUGAAAACACACUGCAUUUAGAGGUGAAAAGCCUGAAGACUGAAGACACGGCUGUUUAUUACUGUGCAAGAGAUCCACAGUUAGACAAAACACUACAGGGCUACACAAAAACUAUUCAUGACAAGAUCAUGGCUGGUAAUAUAAAGAUCCUAGGUUCAAACUCUGGAAGUGGAGAUUCAUGA